rnacentral:rRNA from 1 species
GUGUCAGCAGCCGCGGUAAGACGAGGGGUCCUAGCGUUGUUCGGAAUCAUUGGGCGUAAAGCGUAUGUAGGUGGCCUUAUAAGUCAGGUGUGAAAGCCCCGGGCUCAACCCGGGAAGUGCAUUUGAUACUGUUUGGCUUGAGUACCGAAGAGGAUAGUGGAAUUCCAGGUGUAGUGGUGAAAUACGUAGAUAUCUGGAGGAACACCGGUGGCGAAGGCGGCUAUCUGGUCGAGUACUGACACUGAGAUACGAAAGCGUGGGGAUCAAACAGGAUUAGAUACCCUGGUAGUCCACGCCGUAAACGAUGGGUACUUGGUGUUGGAGGUAUUGACCCCUUCAGUGCCGAAGCUAACGCGUUAAGUACCCCGCCUGGGGAGUACGGCCGCAAGGUUAAAACUCAAAGAAAUUGACGG